rnacentral:rRNA from 2 species
CACAUAUUGUGAGCUCGAUGAGUAGGGCGGGACACGUGGUAUCCUGUCUGAAUAUGGGGGGACCAUCCUCCAAGGCUAAAUACUCCUGACUGACCGAUAGUGAACCAGUACCGUGAGGGAAAGGCGAAAAGAACCCCGGCGAGGGGAGUGAAAAAGAACCUGAAACCGUGUACGUACAAGCAGUGGGAGCCUCUUUAUGGGGUGACUGCGUACCUUUUGUAUAAUGGGUCAGCGACUUAUAUUCUGUAGCAAGGUUAACCGAAUAGGGGAGCCGAAGGGAAACCGAGUCUUAACUGGGCGUUAAGUUGCAGGGUAUAGACCCGAAACCCGGUGAUCUAGCCAUGGGCAGGUUGAAGGUUGGGUAACACUAACUGGAGGACCGAACCGACUAAUGUUGAAAAAUUAGCGGAUGACUUGUGGCUGGGGGUGAAAGGCCAAUCAAACCGGGAGAUAGCUGGUUCUCCCCGAAAGCUAUUUAGGUAGCGCCUCGUGAAUUCAUCUCCGGGGGUAGAGCACUGUUUCGGCAAGGGGGUCAUCCCGACUUACCAACCCGAUGCAAACUGCGAAUACCGGAGAAUGUUAUCACGGGAGACACACGGCGGGUGCUAACGUCCGUCGUGAAGAGGGAAACAACCCAGACCGCCAGCUAAGGUCCCAAAGUCAUGGUUAAGUGGGAAACGAUGUGGGAAGGCCCAGACAGCCAGGAUGUUGGCUUAGAAGCAGCCAUCAUUUAAAGAAAGCGUAAUAGCUCACUGGUCGAGUCGGCCUGCGCGGAAGAUGUAACGGGGCUAAACCAUGCACCGAAGCUGCGGCAGCGACACUAUGUGUUGUUGGGUAGGGGAGCGUUCUGUAAGCCUGUGAAGGUGGCCUGUGAGGGUUGCUGGAGGUAUCAGAAGUGCGAAUGCUGACAUAAGUAACGAUAAAGCGGGUGAAAAGCCCGCUCGCCGGAAGACCAAGGGUUCCUGUCCAACGUUAAUCGGGGCAGGGUGAGUCGACCCCUAAGGCGAGGCCGAAAGGCGUAGUCGAUGGGAAACAGGUUAAUAUUCCUGUACUUGGUGUUACUGCGAAGGGGGGACGGAGAAGGCUAUGUUGGCCGGGCGACGGUUGUCCCGGUUUAAGCGUGUAGGCUGGUUUUCCAGGCAAAUCCGGAAAACCAAGGCUGAGGCGUGAUGACGAGGCACUACGGUGCUGAAGCGACAAAUGCCCUGCUUCCAGGAAAAGCCUCUAAGCAUCAGGUAACAUCAAAUCGUACCCCAAACCGACACAGGUGGUCAGGUAGAGAAUACCAAGGCGCUUGAGAGAACUCGGGUGAAGGAACUAGGCAAAAUGGUGCCGUAACUUCGGGAGAAGGCACGCUGAUAUGUAGGUGAAGCGACUUGCUCGUGGAGCUGAAAUCAGUCGAAGAUACCAGCUGGCUGCAACUGUUUAUUAAAAACACAGCACUGUGCAAACACGAAAGUGGACGUAUACGGUGUGACGCCUGCCCGGUGCCGGAAGGUUAAUUGAUGGGGUUAGCGGUAACGCGAAGCUCUUGAUCGAAGCCCCGGUAAACGGCGGCCGUAACUAUAACGGUCCUAAGGUAGCGAAAUUCCUUGUCGGGUAAGUUCCGACCUGCACGAAUGGCGUAAUGAUGGCCAGGCUGUCUCCACCCGAGACUCAGUGAAAUUGAACUCGCUGUGAAGAUGCAGUGUACCCGCGGCAAGACGGAAAGACCCCGUGAACCUUUACUAUAGCUUGACACUGAACAUUGAGCCUUGAUGUGUAGGAUAGGUGGGAGGCUUUGAAGUGUGGACGCCAGUCUGCAUGGAGCCGACCUUGAAAUACCACCCUUUAAUGUUUGAUGUUCUAACGUUGGCCCGUAAUCCGGGUUGCGGACAGUGUCUGGUGGGUAGUUUGACUGGGGCGGUCUCCUCCUAAAGAGUAACGGAGGAGCACGAAGGUUGGCUAAUCCUGGUCGGACAUCAGGAGGUUAGUGCAAUGGCAUAAGCCAGCUUGACUGCGAGCGUGACGGCGCGAGCAGGUGCGAAAGCAGGUCAUAGUGAUCCGGUGGUUCUGAAUGGAAGGGCCAUCGCUCAACGGAUAAAAGGUACUCCGGGGAUAACAGGCUGAUACCGCCCAAGAGUUCAUAUCGACGGCGGUGUUUGGCACCUCGAUGUCGGCUCAUCACAUCCUGGGGCUGAAGUAGGUCCCAAGGGUAUGGCUGUUCGCCAUUUAAAGUGGUACGCGAGCUGGGUUUAGAACGUCGUGAGACAGUUCGGUCCCUAUCUGCCGUGGGCGCUGGAGAACUGAGGGGGGCUGCUCCUAGUACGAGAGGACCGGAGUGGACGCAUCACUGGUGUUCGGGUUGUCAUGCCAAUGGCACUGCCCGGUAGCUAAAUGCGGAAGAGAUAAGUGCUGAAAGCAUCUAAGCACGAAACUUGCCCCGAGAUGAGUUCUCCCUGACUCUUAGAGUCUCCUGAAGGAACGUUGAAGACGACGACGUUGAUAGGCCGGGUGUGUAAGCGCAGCGAUGCGUUGAGCUAACCGGUACUAAUGAACCGUGAGGCUUAACCUU